GCCGCUAUGGUGGAAUUGGUAGACACCCGAGACUUAAAAUCUCGUUCUGGUUUCCAGAGUACCGGUUCGAGCCCGGUUAGCGGCACCA
rnacentral:tRNA from 2 species